CCUACGGGUGGCAGCAGUGAGGAAUAUUGGUCAAUGGCCGGAAGGCUGAACCAGCCAUGCCGCGUGAAGGUCAGUGCCCUAUGGGCGUUAAACUUCUUUUGUGCGGGAGCAAUAAUGGUCACGUGUGGCCAGACGAGAGUACCGUACGAAUAAGCAUCGGGUAACUCCGUGCCAGCAGCCGCGGUAAUACGGGGGAUGCAAGCGUUAUCCGGAUUUAUUGGGUUUAAACGGUGCGUGGGCUGGGAGGUAAGUCAGCGGUGAAAUUCCCCCGCUCAACGGGGUGAAGUGCCAUUGAUACUGGCGUGCUGGAAUGCGGAUGAGGGGGGAGGAAUGUGUGGUGUAGCGGUGAAAUGCAUAGAUAUCACACAGAACACCGAUUGCGAAGGCAUCUCACGAAUCCGCGAUUGACGCUGAUGCACGAAAGCGUGGGUAUCAAACAGGAUUAGAUACCCCAGUAGUC
rnacentral:rRNA from 1 species